UUAGGGUUAUCUCAGCUAACAAUAAGAACAGGAAAGACAAGUUCAUGGCUGAGACAUCAAGAAAGGUUGAUGUGGUCAACAACAGAGUCGCUGUUCUUGAUAUGAAGUUGGUUGGAUUCCAAGCCUGGGUAUGUUGAAACUUUCGCUAUUGGGGUUGCUUCUGGGACUGCUUUGAGGAGGAUUGAAAGUGUCUGGCCUCAUGUUAUUGGGG
rnacentral:misc_RNA from 1 species